CUCCGAAUUGAGAAGCCAAAAGGUUGUCAGCGGUACCACCUUGUUUUACAGAUGGGAAAACUGAGUCCGAGAGAUUACUGCCCCUUCUCCAGGGUCUCAGCGCUAGCGGCAGAAGCUCUCCGUGGAGUGACCUGCCAGAACUUUCUUUGUGGCACUGAUCCGGCGUGGGAGUAGGCCAGAGACCCGGCCGCUUCCCUAGGUCCUUACCAGAACCCUGCCUCUGCUCCCCAGUGACCAUCUCGGACUUUACCUGAGCCUGAAGUAACAGGCAGAGCCAGGAGGAGAAGGACGUUUAUUUCCAUACAUCGGGUAAACAGGGAAGAGAGAGCACAGCCCAGUGAGUACAAACCAAUUGCGGGAGAGAAGGUGAGGGGGACAGCAGAUGGGAGCUGCACCAGGCACUGCCCUUGGGUCCCCAAGUCUGGUAUUAUUGGUGGGAUGACCUUUAGGGUGGGGCUGGGACUGUCCGGCCACGUGUUGUCUUGUCUCGGGGGAAGUGUGUGGGGGCAGGGCAACUGGAAGAAGAAAAAUGACUCAGGCUCAGGAUACAGGGUGAGGACUCGUGUCUAAUGCACAUCAGUACUGACCCAAACCCCCAUCUUGAGUUUUUCUGAUCACAAGCUCCCAACCCAAGGCCUUCCCUCUCAAGUUGGGCCUACAGUCCAGGCAACUUGGACAGAGGGUCAAGGAGGCAGUGCUUGGAUAAGCCCCGAACUUAUCGGCAUAGGUGGAAUGGGUUUAGUCUUAAAUAGGUCAUUGCACUUAACACACUGAUGAGACGAAGGGGGUGGGGGCUGAAAGUG